UACGUAGGUGACAAGCGUUGUCCGGAUUUACUGGGCGUAAAGAGCGCGCAGGCGGUCGAUCAAGUCGAGUGUGAAAGCCCCCGGCUCAACUGGGGAGGGUCAUUCGAUACUGAUUGACUCGGAGGCAGGAGAGGGUAGUGGAAUUCCCGGUGUAGUGGUGAAAUGCGUAGAUAUCGGGAGGAACACCAGUGGCGAAGGCGACUACCUGGCCUGUUCUUGACGCUGAGGCGCGAAAGCUAGGGGAGCAAACGGG
rnacentral:rRNA from 1 species